GCCCGCUUAGCUCAAUUGGUAGAGCAUUGUACUUAUGGGAUGACGUGUUAUCUGCGCAUAGAAGUAUGCAAAGGUCGGCAGUUCGAUCCUGCCAGUGGGCA